rnacentral:lncRNA from 1 species
UGGGGUCUAUGGGGCCUAUGGGGCAAUGGGGGCUAUGGGGUGAUGGAUCUAUGGGGUGACAGAGCUAUGGGGUGAUGGGGUCUAUGGGGUCUAUGGGGUGAAGGAUCCAUGGGGUGAUGGAUUAAUGGGGAAUGGGGUUUAUGGGGUCUACGGGGUGAUGGGGUCUAUGGGGCCGCAGGUCUAUGGGGUGAUGGGGUCUAUGGGGUGAAGGAUCUAUGGGGGAUGGGGUCUAUGGGGUGAAGGAUCCAUGGGGCAACGGGUUCUAUAGGACAAUGGGCUCCAUGGCACAAUGGGGUCUAUGGGGCGAUGACCCCAUGCGACAAUGGGGUCCAUGGGGUGACGGCUCCAUGGGGGAUGACCCCAUAGGGCAAUGGGGUUUAUAGGGCAAUGGGGUCAAUGGGGCUAUGACCCCAUAGGACAACGGGCUCCACGGGGUGCUGGCGGCGCUGCUCCCCCUGCUCCCCCCCGUGGGUCCCCCCCCAGGGCGAGGUGCCCCCGGCCCCCCCCGGGCCCCUUCCUGCAGGGGCCGCGUCCGCCCCCACCCUUCCUGUGCCCCCCCCCCGGCCCCUUCCUGUUGACGCCGGUGGCGGGGACACGGGGACAGUGACGGGGACACGGGGACAAUGACGGGGACAGUGACGGGGAGAGUGACGGGGACACUGGGGGGCCGUGGGACCCCAACAGGGCCCCUCCCGGUGUCCUCCCUGUAUAUGGGGUCCUGUUCCCCCCCCCCCCCCCUUUUGGGGGUCACAGGGAUGUGGGGGUUACGCCCCCCCCCAUGUCCCCAAGGGUGUCACCGGCGGCGUCAUCGGAAGCGGCAGCGUCCGUCCGCGGGCUCGGCACGCGCCCGGCACCCGCGGGUGGGGGGGACGGGGACAGGAUGGGGACAGGGACAAGGACAGGGAUGGGGACAGGAUGGGGAUGGGAUAGGGACAAGGACAGGAUGGGGACAGGAUUGGGACGGGGACAAGGACAGGGAUAGGGACAAGGACAGGAUGGGGACGGGGACAAGGACAGGACAGGGACUAGGACAGGAUGGGGAUGGGGACAGGAUGGGGAUGGGGACAGGAUGGGGAUGGGGACAGGGACAAGGACGGGGAUGGGGACAAGGACAGGACAGGGACAGGGACAGGAUGGGGAUGGGGACAGGAUGGGGACAGGGACAGGAUGGGGAUGGGGCAGGGACAGUUUGGGGACAAGCACAGUGACAAGGACAAGCACGCCCCGAGCCCGCGCUGCUUUAUUAUUUACAGGGGGGGACGGAGGGGACGCGGCUGUCCCCAAGGCACGGGGACCUCGGGGCUGUCCCCAA